rnacentral:rRNA from 1 species
AGCGAACGCUGGCGGCGUGCCUAACACAUGCAAGUCGAACGUGAAAGGGAGCAAUCCCAAGUAAAGUGGCGUACGGGUGAGUAACACGUAGGUAAUCUACCCCAGAAUCUGGAAUAACCGGCCGAAAGGCUGGCUAAUACUGGAUAGAGCGACGGAAUCCGUAAUUGGGUUUUUCGGGAAAGGGAGCCUGUAAAAAGGCCUUCGUUCUGGGAUGAGCCUGCGUCCCAUCAGCUAGUUGGUGAGGUAAAAGCUUACCAAGGCAAUGACGGGUAGCUGGUCUGAGAGGACGAUCAGCCACACUGGAACUGAAACACGGUCCAGACUCCUACGGGAGGCAGCAGUGGGGAAUCUUGCGCAAUGGACGAGAGUCUGACGCAGCAACGCCGCGUGAGUGAAGAAGGCCUUCGGGUUGUAAAGCACUGUCGAGUGGGACGAAAAUGCUUGGAGUUCACAGCUCCAGGAACUGACGGUACCACUAAAGGAAGCACCGGCUAACUCCGUG